AGGCAUGCAAGUCGAACGGUAACAGAGGUGCUUGCACCUGCUGACGAGUGGCGUAAGGGUGAGUAACACGUGAGCAACCUACCUUAAAGUCGGGGAUAGCCCAUGGAAACGUGGAUUAAUACCGGAUGUGGCAAUUUUAUCGCAUGGUAAAGUGGCUAAAAUCUUUUUGCUUUAAGAUGGGCUCGCGCACCAUCAGCUAGUUGGUAAGGUAACGGCUUACCAAGGCUAUGACGGUUAGGUGGUCUGAGAGGAUGAUCACCCACACUGGGACUGAGACACUGCCCAGACUCCUACGGGAGGCUGCAGUCGAGAAUCUUCCGCAAUGCGCGAAAGCGUGACGGAGCGAUGCCGCGUGCAGGAUGACGGCCCUCGGGUUGUAAACUGCUGUCACUUGGGAAAAAUUUUGAUGGUACAAAGAGAGGAAGCACCGGCUAACUACGUGCCAGCAGCCGCGGUAAUACGUAGGGUGCGAGCGUUAUUCGGAUUUAUUGGGCGUAAAGGGUUCGUAGGCGGUACUGUAAGUCUGAUGUGAAAUCUCCGGGCUCAACCCGGAAACUGCAUUGGAUACUGCAGAACUAGAGUACUGGAGAGGUAAGCGGAAUUCCUGGUGUAGCGGUGGAAUGCGUAGAUAUCAGGAGGAACACCGAUGGCGAAGGCAGCUUACUGGACAGUUACUGACGCUCAUGAACGAAAGCUAGGGGAGCAAACAGGAUUAGAUACCCUGGUAGUCCUAGCUGUAAACGUUGUUCACUAGAUGUAGGCGGAUUGGUCCCGUCUGUGUCCAAGCUAACGUGAUAAGUGAACCGCCUGGGGAGUACAGCCGCAAGGUUAAAACUCAAAGGAAUUGACGGGGGCCCGCACAAGCGGUGGAGCAUGUGGCUUAAUUCGAGCUACGCGAAGAACCUUACCUGGGUUUGACAUAUAUAGGACCGCCUUGGAAACAAGGUUUCUCUUCGGAGUCUAUAUACAGAUGCUGCAUGGCUGUCGUCAGCUCGUGCCGUGAGGUGUUCGGUUAAGUCCGGCAACGAGCGCAACCCACGCUGUUAGUUACCAGCGAGUAAUGUCGGGAACUCUAGCAGGACUGCCCGUGCUAAGCGGGAGGAAGGCGUGGACGACGUCAAGUCCGUAUGGCUCUUACAUCCAGGGCUGCACACGUGCUACAAUGGCCGAUACAAUGGGACGCCACUCCGCGAGGAGGAGCCAAUCCUGAAAAUCGGCCCCAGUUCGGAUUGGAGUCUGCAACUCGACUCCAUGAAGUCGGAAUCGCUAGUAAAGGCGUAUCAGCUACGACGCCUUGAAUACGUUCCCGGGCCUUGUACACACCGCCCGUCACAUCAUGGAAGCCCACUGCACCCGAAGUCGCUGACCGAACCCGCAAGGGACGGAGGUGCCGAAGGUGUGGUUGGUAACUGGGAUGAAGAAGUAACAAGGUA
rnacentral:rRNA from 1 species